ACGAACGCUGGCGGCGUGCCUAAUACAUGCAAGUUGAGCGCUGAAGGUUGGUACUUGUACCGACUGGAUGAGCAGCGAACGGGUGAGUAACGCGUGGGGAAUCUGCCUUUGAGCGGGGGACAACAUUUGGAAACGAAUGCUAAUACCGCAUAAAAACUUUAAACACAAGUUUUAAGUUUGAAAGAUGCAAUUGCAUCACUCAAAGAUGAUCCCGCGUUGUAUUAGCUAGUUGGUGAGGUAAAGGCUCACCAAGGCGAUGAUACAUAGCCGACCUGAGAGGGUGAUCGGCCACAUUGGGACUGAGACACGGCCCAAACUCCUACGGGAGGCAGCAGUAGGGAAUCUUCGGCAAUGGACGAAAGUCUGACCGAGCAACGCCGCGGGAGUGAAGAAGGUUUUCGGAUCGUAAAACUCGGUUGGUAGAGAAGAACGUUGGUGAGAGUGGAAAGCUCAUCAAGUGACGGUAACUACCCAGAAAGGGACGGCUAACUACGUG
rnacentral:rRNA from 1 species